rnacentral:misc_RNA from 1 species
GGAAGUAAAAGUCGCAACAAGGUUUCCGUAGGUGAACCUGCGGAAGGAUCAUUAUUGGAUUUUGAAACUUCAGGCUGCUGCUGGCUCUCCUCGGAGGGCAUGUGCACGCUUGUUGUCCAUUAUUUCUCCCACUGUGCACAAAUUGUAGACCUUUCAGUAGGCCUAUGUUGUUUUUCACAAUCUCUGAAUGUAAUAGAAUGGUUUUGAAUCUUGGGAAAUACAAUACAACUUUCAGCAACGGAUCUCAUGGCUCUC